AACUCUAUUACGGUCUAUGGAGGAAGGAGCAGCAUGCUGUAGCUUGAGAGCAUUAUGAGCAUUCUCAGUCUAGCGCAGCAAUUGUAGCUAACGAGCACAUUAUUUUGGCCCCCAUGUAGAAUAGGUAUUUCAGAGCACUGCUUGAUAUUCUGCCUGCCUCAGAUUUUCUCUCUGAAUUCACCCUUCUUGGCAGCAAUACAGCAGCUGACAGGGUUCUUUGGUUGUCACCUUAAUGGGAGAAGUGGGAAGGCUCAUCAACAUCACAAUAAACCAUCAGGAAGUCAUGCUCAUACUGAAUAAAGCCGAACAAAAAUCCAACAGCUGCCACACAAAAACUAAUUGGAACCGAAUAAUCUGACCAUCUCAUUCAGGAAUAAACACUAUUCUAUCUAAAGCCUUACUGACACUGUAAAACAAGGUUUAUCGUUUAAAUAUCUCCAUACAUGCAGUCAUUCGGAAGGAAUUAAUCAUUCAGAUGACCCUGCUCAGCUUGGCUAUAUUGCUACUCACUGAAAAGAAAGUGACUGCUUCAGACACAUGGACAGAGCAGUUCACAGCAUUUAAUCAAGCUCCACUGAAACAGCUUAACCAAUGGUCAAUUUCACUCUCAGCAAAUGAAACACAUCUGGCUGGCUACUCUGGACAGCAAGUAGCAAGAACAGAGUCAGGUCUCCUCAGAGCCUCUGUCCAUCUUCCAAUGAGAAAAUACCCCUGCUCUUGUCACCCGGGACUGCAGUCACAAUCUAAGCAUGGGAGUAAAGGGGUGGCAUACUCCCUGCACUGCCAAGUACAGGCUGCGAGAAUCUAAAAAACCUCUUGGAAUUACAAAGCUUAGUUUAGCCACAUGAUCGACAGAAUAAUAUUUGGCAUUGAUUUGUAACAGGAUUCGCAAUUCUACAGAAGUCAGUUACAAACACACUUUAAUAUGGCAUCUAAGGCUUGUCCUUGCUUGCAGCUUUGCCCUGAUUUCUUCCUGUCCCUUGUAUUGGUCCUUUUUCCACCCCAAUUCCUCCUGCUUCCACUGUCACCUUCUUCCACUCUUCAUGCUUUCUCCCAUGGUGGAAUUCCCUCUCACGCUGUGUGUGAAAGGAAUCUGCCAUUCAAAUCCCUCUUUAAAAACAGAUUUCUUCUUACAAGACAACUCAUUUUAAUUAAUCUAACUCAGAAAUAGUGCACACUGCCAAUAAAAAAAAUCAUCUGUACUCUGAGAAUCUCCCCUCCUGUCCUCAAAGCCAUUUUACAUUGUUUGAUCUGUCCCUUUAGAAUUCACAAAGGAAAGGAACCGUGUCUUCCUAAGCAUACUGUUGGCACUUAAAUAACAUAUGUCAGCACUGUGAAGUUUUUAUUUUAUUUUUUAACUAUGGCAAAAAGCAUGGUUUGUUGCAUAUUUGUUCUGUAAAUUUCAUUUCCGUUUUAAUUAGAAGGCAAGUUCCUGCAAUAUCCAUUAUAAUUACCGUAAUCUGCUUACAGUCAGUAUGAUGACUACAGCUAGAAGAACCAGCUGUGUUAUAUUUGUUUUAUGCUGGGUAGUGAUCUUUCCACAAACAAGUACUUGCUUUGGUAUGGUCUGAAAAUUGUGCUUCUAGUCAUUCUUGG